UAUCUUUGCGCCCUGAUUGAAAAUCAAUCAUGUACAUAAAAAUCAUUAAAAUAAUAUUGGAAUG
rfam:Arenibacter sp. C-21 DNA, contig: C21_contig0017.